rnacentral:rRNA from 1 species
AGGAGUCGCCUUAGAGUUGAUCUGGCUCAGAACGAACGCUGGCGGCGUGGCUAAGACAUGCAAGUCGUACGAUAUGUUGUAGCAAUAUGACAUAUAGUGGCGGACGGGUGAGUAAUGAAUAGGUAACGUACCCCGGGCACAGGAAUAGCGUCGAACCCCGCAAGGGGUUCUUUGCGAAAGUGACGGUAAUACCUGGUGAAGUCAUUGAGGGGCAUCUCUUGAUGACCAUAGGGUGGGGACCUUCGGGCCUAUCGGCCUGGGAGCGGCCUAUUCCCUAUCAGCUAGUUGGUGAGGUAACGGCUCACCAAGGCAACGACGGGUAACCGGACUGAGAGGUUGGCCGGUCACAUCGGGACUGAGACACUGCCCGGACAUCUACGGAUGGCUGCAGUAACGAAUAUUCCGCAAUGGGCGCAAGCCUGACGGAGCGACGCCGCGUGGAGGACGAAUUCCUUCGGGAUGUAAACUCCUUUUAGGGAUCUGAAAACAGAGCGCGCUAAUACCGCGCGAGUUGAUCUAUCCAGAAAAAGCCUCGGCUAAACCCGUGCCAGCAGCCGCGGUAAUUCGGGUGAGGCAAGCGUUGUUCGGAAUCACUGGGCUUAAAGCGCGUGUAGGCGGUUCGGUAAGUACCUUGUGAAAUCCCUUUUCUCAAUGAAGGAAUGGCUGGGUAUACUGCCGGACUGGAGGCAGGUAGGGGUCACUGGAACUCUAGGUGGAGCGGUGAAAUGCGUAGAUAUCUAGAGGAACGCCCGUGGCGAAAGCGGGUGACUGGGCCUGUCCUGACGCUGAGACGCGAAAGCGUGGGAGCAAACAGGAUUAGAUACCCUGGUAGUCCUAGCCCUAAACGAUGAUUGCUUGGUGUGGCGGGUACCCAAUCCCGUCGUGCCGCAGCUAACGCGUUAAGCAAUCCGCCUGGGGAGUACGGCCGCAAGGCUGAAACUCAAAGGAAUUGACGGGGGCCCGCACAAGCGGUGGAGCAUGUGGUUCAAUUCGACGCAACGCGAAGAACCUUACCUGGGCUCGAAAUGCAGUGGACCGGGGUGGAAACAUCCCUUUCCGCAAGGACUGCUGCAUAGGUGCUGCAUGGCUGUCGUCAGCUCGUGUCGUGAGAUGUUGGGUUAAGUCCCGCAACGAGCGCAACCCUUAUUGCCAGUUGCUAACACGUUAUGGUGAGCACUCUGGCGAAACCGCCCCGGAUAACGGGGAGGAAGGUGGGGAUGACGUCAAGUCCUCAUGGCCUUUAUGUCCAGGGCUACACACGUGCUACAAUGGCCGAUACAAACCGUCGCAAACCCGCGAGGGGGAGCUAAUCGGAAAAAGUCGGCCUCAGUUCGGAUUGUAGUCUGCAACUCGACUACAUGAAGCUGGAAUCGCUAGUAAUCGCGGAUCAGCACGCCGCGGUGAUACAUCCCCCGGGCAUUGUACACACU